CCUACGGGAGGCUGCAGUGGGGAAUAUUGGACAAUGGGGGGAACCCUGAUCCAGCCAUGCCGCGUGUGUGAAGAAGGCCCUCGGGUUGUAAAGCACUUUCAGUGAGGAAGAACGCCUGGUGGUUAAUACCCAUCAGGAAAGACAUCACUCACAGAAGAAGCACCGGCUAACUCCGUGCCAGCAGCCGCGGUAAUACGGAGGGUGCGAGCGUUAAUCGGAAUUACUGGGCGUAAAGCGCGCGUAGGUGGCUUGAUAAGCCGGUUGUGAAAGCCCCGGGCUCAACCUGGGAACGGCAUCCGGAACUGUCAAGCUAGAGUGCAGGAGAGGAAGGUAGAAUUCCCGGUGUAGCGGUGAAAUGCGUAGAGAUCGGGAGGAAUACCAGUGGCGAAGGCGGCCUUCUGGACUGACACUGACACUGAGGUGCGAAAGCGUGGGUAGCAAACAGGAUUAGAUACCCUUGUAGUU
rnacentral:rRNA from 1 species